GUGUGUGUGUUCAUCCUCGCCCGAAGAGGAAGAGAAACGGCCCAGCACGGGCCCGGUGAGCCGGGGCAGUGACUGGCAAGCCCGGAACCUCCCUCCAUUGCCUCAGCCCAAACUGUUAGAAUCGGGCGGCGCCUGGGCGGCUUCUUCCCCUUACGCUUCUCUUUCCUGGACCAAACUAAAGGGGGCCUGCGCCAGGCCGGAAGUGACGCUCAGAGGAGGCGUCCAGAGCAGUUAGUCGAGCUCCGAGCUUAUCGGCCGCGCUUCGGCGAUUCAGGGAGCGGAAGGAGGAAUCAUCUCCUCCCCACUCAACCUCGGCGACACGCCCCCUGCCGGCGAGAGCGCCGCGCAUGCGCGCGCAGCCCCAGCGGCCACGUCCGCUGGCAUCCUUCAUGCCGCAUCCUCACGUCGUCGGGAAUAACUGCAUCCCUCGCGCGUCAUUGAUGUAAAAGGCAAUGAGCCAAUCUAGGAGUCCUUAGACCUUUAAAAAAAAUGUAUUUCAAAAUUGUUCGUUUUCUUGGUAGUCCUAUGACAAACACUGAGGAGGGGUCCCGGGCUUCAUCCAAAGGAGUCCGUGAGACAACAAAAGGCGUAAGACCGCCCUCUUCCCUGCCGAGACCAAGAACUAGAGUCUAGUCCAACUUCCCUUAUUCUAAAGGUCUAUCCUUAACAGACAUGAACUCAAACUUUCAGAGAAAUAUGCCAAGAGCACCUUAUCUUCCAUCCAAAGAACUACUGGAAAUCCUAGGAGGAAGUUUUCACAUGCUUGGGAAUAAACAUCCUCUCAACUCACUGAUGGGUUUGUGGCCUGUUGGUUACUCAUUUGACAAGAGGGUUUUACUGGGAGAGUUGAUUAAGAAGUGAACACCAAAGAGCCUUGCAAACACUGAGUCAGCUAUGGCAAUGCAUGUAUCAAUCUCACCAUAAAAGACAUUUGGAAAAUCUCUCUUAGGAAUUUUAGGACUGGUUGCAUGACAUGGGAGACAUUGGCACAGGACCACCCAGAAUGCCCUCAUCAGAGAAGAUGUUAUGUUCUAUGAGCUAAGCAGAACUGAAGUAGCUCAAAAGAAAUACAAGAUAUGCAGAGUUAGAGAAUCCACCCCAAAUGUUCACAUGGACUAUUUGUGCCCUGCCUGUGGUAGAGCAUUCUGCGGUUAUAUUGGUCUCAUCAGCAUCACUUGUAACUAGACUCUUAACAUCUUUUUGUCACUUUGGUCUUCUUUAAGAACAAAUGACAACAACCAAACCAAAGUUAUCCUAGAAUUACCUGUAUGAAUUGUACUGGUUGAAUUCAUUUUUGAUGUCAGUCCUCGAAAAGGAGACCUGGUGGUAGAAACUGGGGAUAUGGAACACAGAGCUUAGAGUUUCUAUCUUCAAGAUGCUGAUAACUUGGGUGGAAAAACAAAAGAAAAUAAAACAGGUAGAGCUCACCUGCUGGCAGCCCCAGUUCAGACCCUCAUCACUGGAUCUCUUUUCUUCUGAGUUCCUGAAGUCUCAUGAGACCAUCUUUCAUUGGAAAGAAGACACAAACAGAAGAUCAGUCAAUCUCCAAUCAGGAAGGAGAAAACACAGCUGCAUGGAACA
ensembl:lncRNA